rnacentral:rRNA from 1 species
AAACCGGAGGAAGGUGGGGAAUGACGUCAAGUCCUCCAUGGCCCUUAUGACCAGGGCUACACACGUGCUACAAUGGACCGGUACAAAGAGUUGCGAUACCGCGAGGUGGAGCUAAUCUCAUAAAGCCCGGUCUCAGUUCGGAUUGGAGUCUGCAACUCGACUCCAUGAAGUUGGAAUCGCUAGUAAUCGCGGAUCAGCACGCCGCGGUGAAUACGUUCCCGGGCCUU